UGUGGGAGCUGGCUUGCCUGCGAUAGCGGUGGUGCAGUUGAUACCGCUAUCGCAGGCAAGCCAGCUCCCACA
rnacentral:antisense_RNA from 1 species